rnacentral:lncRNA from 1 species
UUGAUGGAUUCACGCUAACUCCCUUCUCUUUUUUUUUUUGAUUUGAGAUUUUGGUUGAUUGAUUUUUGAGAACUCAGAUUGAGAUUUUGAAGGAAAGUUUAGCUUUGUUGAAGGUAAAUAUGGCUGUCAAUCUGCCAUAGAUGAAGUGAUGCAGAGAAUGAAGAGUAGAAACACCGUAUAAAUGCAACAGAGAGAGACCUUUUUAGCAGAUUAUAAUGCCUUCAUCUCCAGCAUGAUGAGUUGCGACAUAAAAUUUUAUCAGGUUUGAUAAUUAUUUAAGCUUUCAUCCACUAUAUCUGCUUCAGUAAUCUUCAUUCUGGUCAAUCAGUAGAUGAUAUGCUACUUCAGCUUUUAGGAGCAUGGUUAAGAGUAAAUAUGCAAAACUAAAUAGGAAUAUAUGGAACAAAAUGUGUAAUUGUGAUGAUAUUUUUUUAUUUUAUCCUAAUUUCUUAUAUCCAUAGAACAUUAUUUGACUUUUCCACUACUGAUACAAAGCCACGUGACUAUAUGUAUUGUUAUUCUUCCUCUUUACUGGAACAAUCUUUCCGAACAGGCAACACAUUACAUUAUUUUAAAUUUGUGCAACUUAAUUUAAUGUCACAAACUCAUGUAUCAGUAGUAAACAACUAUAGAAUUAUGCUUGAUAUAUAUAUAUAUAUAUAUAUAUAUAUAUAUAUUUUGGUUCGAUAGAAGGUGUAGAAAUGUCGUUAUAUUUUAAUGGUAAAAUAAAAAGUUCAAUAUCAUAUUUUUAGCGGGUCGAGUUAAAUGGGGCGGGUCAUUAAAUGGAUAUAUAUUUGGUUCUUAAUAUUUUGGUUAAAACAAAAAUUCCAUGUCAGCAAAUUUUAGUGAAAAAAAAUAAUUAAAUAGGUUGAAUGACUUUCUGUGCAAAGAAGUCAUAGUUGGAUGACUUUUAAGUUAAAAAUUGAGUGACUUUCUGUGAAAAAAGUUGAUAGUUGAGUGACCAUCAAAGUUAUUAACUCGUUAUUUAUUAAUGGAAAAAUAUUGUCUUAUCAUGCUGAAAGAUUCAUUUAUAUUAAUUGAUCAAACACUUGUAUAUAGGUGUUGGCGUGUCGACAAAAUAUAAUUGCUUCAAGUGAAUCUUGUGCCACCAUCCACAUAUAAUAUAAGUGGGAAAAAAGAAGAAAUUUAGUAUGUUGCGAACUUGAUCUAACAUUCAUUUGAUUAAAUGUUGUUUUUUCAGAAUGUUGAAAUGAUUUCAAGUCAUCAUUGAAACAGUACGGGAAAAUGAUGGCAGUAAAUUCAUCAGGUCAGAUUACAAACACACAAAGGAAUUGCUUGGACGAAGCUUUUCUGCCUCUUUGUUGAUCAACUGCCUUGGUGAUGAAGAUUUUCAGAAAAGUAGAUGGAAGUGUAGUGCGAGUAAAAACACUUAUAACCAGCGGGACAUAUAGAUUGAAAUUUAUAUUCUCUACAAUUAUCUUUUUUUUUUUUUUUUUUUUUUUUUUUUUUUUUUGAUG